rnacentral:rRNA from 1 species
GGCUAGAGUUUGAUCAUGGCUCAGGAUGAACGCUAGCUACAGGCUUAACACAUGCAAGUCGAGGGGCAUCAGGAAGAAAGCUUGCUUUCUUUGCUGGCGACCGGCGCACGGGUGAGUAACACGUAUCCAACCUGCCCUUUACUCGGGGAUAGCCUUUCGAAAGAAAGAUUAAUACCCGAUAGCAUAAUGAUUCCGCAUGGUUUCAUUAUUAAAGGAUUCCGGUAAAGGAUGGGGAUGCGUUCCAUUAGGUUGUUGGUGAGGUAACGGCUCACCAAGCCUUCGAUGGAUAGGGGUUCUGAGAGGAGGGUCCCCCACAUUGGAACUGAGACACGGUCCAAACUCCUACGGGAGGCAGCAGUGAGGAAUAUUGGUCAAUGGGCGUUAGCCUGAACCAGCCUAGUAGCGUGAAGGAUGAAGGCUCUAUGGGUCGUAAACUUCUUUUAUAUAAGAAUAAAGUGCAGUAUGUAUACUGUUUUGUAUGUAUUAUACGAAUAAGGAUCGGCUAACUCCGUGCCAGCAGCCGCGGUAAUACGGAGGAUCCGAGCGUUAUCCGGAUUUAUUGGGUUUAAAGGGAGCGUAGGUGGACUGGUAAGUCAGUUGUGAAAGUUUGCGGCUCAACCGUAAAAUUGCAGUUGAUACUGUCAGUCUUGAGUACAGUAGAGGUGGGCGGAAUCCGUGGUGUAGCGGUGAAAUGCUUAGAUAUCACGAAGAACUCCGAUUGCGAAGGCAGCUCACUGGACUGCAACUGACACUGAUGCUCGAAAGUGUGGGUAUCAAACAGGAUUAGAUACCCUGGUAGUCCACACAGUAAACGAUGAAUACUCGCUGUUUGCGAUAUACAGUAAGCGGCCCAGCGAAAGCAUUAAGUAUUCCACCUGGG